rnacentral:lncRNA from 1 species
ACACUGAGUAACUGGGGUAGACACAGAGGGGGGCAUCUGGGGCUCUCCCGAGGCCAAGGUUGGGACCCAGAAGAGAUGAAUUUCCCUGGGUGCACAGGGUGGGAGGGAGGUGGGGCUGGAAGAACUUGAUCUGGAGGGAUGAUCCCGAAGGCUCCCAGUGAAGAAGGCCAGGAAGAGCAGAGGAUGGUGCCAGGAGGAUGAUGUCGGGGGACACAGGCAGCUCAUGCCUGGAUCAGGCAGUGACUGGUGUGUGUGUGUGUGUUAUGAAGAGAGAGGGAUGGAAAUUGUGACCAGAGAGUUGGAGUUGGGACCCCUGUCUUGAUCACUUGAGCAUCAGCAGCUCCAGGGAAGAACACAUUCUGAAGGAGGAACUCUCCAGCUAGGAUUUCAUCCUGUCCUAGAGGACACGAAGAGGUGGAGACCACCCCCACAACUAAACUUGAGGAUUACUAAGGCAAUGGGGACUGCCUAGGAAUAUUUUUGAGGGGGUAAAAGCACCCCAUAAUUGUGCUAAGUAACAAAAGACAGAACAAGCAGCCUUAAAACAUUCUACAUGAUACACUGGUAUUAGAAUAAUAAGAUCUUAAAGACCAUCCACUUGAAAACUGGAUUUGCCCCUGGUCAUAUGGGCAGACCCAUGGCAGACAAAGAACUAGAAGUUCCUCCUAACUCCCAACUCAAUGUCCUUUCCUUAAAGAAUAACUGUUCUUUAUUAUAAAUAGGCCAAGCUUUUAUUAUUUAGUAUAGAACUCAGGCUGAUAUUUUUAUUGAUGGAUUAAAAUUUGAAUUAUUUCUGUA